rnacentral:rRNA from 1 species
UUUUGUGGAGGGUUCGAUUCUGGCUCAGGAUGAACGCUGGCGGCGUGCUUAACACAUGCAAGUCGAACGGGAUCGGCUGGAGCUUGCUCCGGCCGUGAGAGUGGCGAACGGGUGAGUAAUGCGUGACCGACCUGCCCCAUACACCGGAAUAGCUCCUGGAAACGGGUGGUA